GAGUAUUUUAUGGGGGUAGAUGAGUAUUUUAUGACUGCAGGAAUAGGGUAGAUGGGUAUUUUAUGGGGGUAGACGAGUAUUUUUAUGACUGCAGUAUAGUAAAUGGGUAUUUUAUGGGGGAAGAUGAGUAUUUUAUGACUGCAGUAUAGGGUAGAUGGGUAUUUUAUGAGGGUAGAUGAGUAUUUUAUGACUGCAGUAUACGGUAGAUGGGUAUUGUAUGGGGGUAGAUGAGUAUUUUAUAGGGGGUAGAUGGGUAUUUUUAUGACUGCAGUAUAGGGUAGAUGGUUAUUUUAUGACUACAGUAUAGGGUAGAUGGUUAUUUUAUAGGGCGUAGAUAGGUAUUUUAUGACUACAGUAUAGGGUAGAUGGUUAUUUUAUUGAGGUGGAUGAGUAUUUAAGGGCUACGGUAUAGGGUAGAUGGUAUUUUAUGGGGGUAGAUGGGUAUUUUAUGACUACAGUAUAGGGUAGAUGGUUAUUUGAUAGGGGGUAGAUAGAAUACACUUUACAAAAUUCAGCAUUCAGAGUACCAAUGCCAGUUGCAUUUAAAUGGUUUUAAAACGUGUAUUUCUUUGUUUUAACAAUCAUGUAUUAUAAGGCUGCUUAUUUUCAUGUGUAAAGCUGAGCCACACAUGUGUGCUGGUCAGCAUGCAGUGUCACCUAUCUCUCACCUGUAUUGAUAAGCCCCAACAGGUGACACCCUGUGUAUUAUAAUUACCUGGAUAGACAUAUACGAACUAUUUUUUUAUGUAAAAAGUUUUGAUAAAUUUUAGGGGGGAUGAAUAUUUUAUGGGGGGAUGAGUAUUUAAUGAAUUAAAUAUUCAUCCGGAUGAGUAUUUUAUGGGGAUGGAAUUUUUAUAGGACACCGGGACUGAACUGGACGGGUUUUUAAAUGUUAGCAAGUUUCACUACUUUUAGCCUCACUGUCGGACCUCUGGUUUCCUCAAGGUAACAGAAGCAUUCUUAAAUGGUCAUUGUUUACAGACAUACCACGGACAACACCCUCGGUACGCCAGGGGAUACGCUAACUCACGUUCUCUGCAACCCUGUAAUAAUACAGGACAAACUCGAAGGCUUGAUGUACGUCAUAUUGUGGAUGAGUCCGGAAGAUAAGUGUGAUCAUGGGAUGUACAUCAAAAUAAUAUGUGGCCGCGUAAGGUAAAAUUGACAGGCUUUGAAAUAAGGUGUCGCUCUUGUGUAAUCUUUAAAACACAGGUGCUAGCCUAGCGAUUGGUCAGAAUAUUUUACCUUAGACCAAUGAAAGAGCUAGCCGCAUGUCUUUAAUUUUGCUAUGACAUAUUCCCAGGUUGGAGAGAUGGUAAGAUAGCUUACCCCUCGAGUGUCAAGGAUACACGGACAACAGGCGACACACGACCACAGACAACAAUGAAUGAGAAAUCAUAUGAAUUAUUUAACGACCUACAUUUAAAA